UGGCGGACGGGUGAGUAAUGUCUGGGAAACUGCCUGAUGGAGGGGGAUAACUACUGGAAACGGUAGCUAAUACCGCAUAACGUCGCAAGACCAAAGAGGGGACCGUUCGGGCCUCUUGCCAUCGGAUGUGCCCAGAUGGGAUUAGCUAGUAGGUGGGGUAACGGCUCACCUAGGCGACGAUCCCUAGCUGGUCUGAGAGGAUGACCAGCCACACUGGAACUGAGACACGGUCCAG
rnacentral:rRNA from 1 species